GCCCUCGUUGAUCAGUGGAGAUCACCCACGCCAAUUGGAACUUGUUGACGCUAGUGGGCGGAGGGGGUUCGACUCCCCCCGACGGCA